UGCUACCUUAGGAUUAGGGUAGGUUCAGUAUUCAUUUCACAUAGUAUUGCCUUACCCUCCCUGCUGUGCUUCAUGGCUUUGCCGUGCCCCCCCCCCCCCCGGCUUAGCUGCAGCCCUUAAUGAGCCCUUUCUGUCCUCCCCUGCUCUCCCUGCCGCUCCCACGCCUGCAGUGACUCAGCCGGGCGGUGUAAGGGCGGUCACGGCUUCCCAGGCCUCUGCCUCCUUGCUGGGGGGAGCGGGACUCGGCGGAGGAUGCCGGCGGCGGGAGGUGGGGGCUUUGUCCAGGCAAGCGGCUGACGCUGUCCGGGCCCUGUCGGAGGCUCUGACAUGUGAGAGGGCGCAUUGUAGGCACUCGGCGGCUUACAGCUGCCUGGAGAGCCCCUCACCUAGUGAGGAUUGGAGGUCAGGAGUUCGUGCCUCCCUGGGUUUCCGUAGGUCUGCGGAGCUUGGGGGGCGGCGCAGUAGGGAGGGACGGGUAGGUUUUAGCAGUGUGGCUCCUGCUACAGCUGUCAAGGGCUUGCGGGGCGGAGACAGGGCUGUGAGGGACGGCAGCCAUUUUGGUGAACGGAGGCCUGGGACUGAUGGUGCUGCUGUGAGCAGUUGUUCCUCCCGUGGCUCCCAUGAUGCAGGGGCUGUAUCUCCCACUCCUGUUACUGCACCCUCUACCUCUGGCCAGGCGGGCAGUGGCCAUAGGGGGGCAAGGGCACCCUCCAGAACUCAGGCUUGCGCUGAUCCAAGUCAGUUGCCUGCUGUUUUUGACCCCUCCCAGUUGUCUGUCGCUUUUUCUUCGGUGGCGGUUGCUCUAGCUCCCUUAAUGUUGGCCAUGUCGCCGAGCUUGGGCGGCCCUGGCCGUAUGGGGCGGGGUUCUAGGGUUGUUGCAGGUGGUGCUACUCCUGGGGUCUCCCAGUUUAUGAGGGCAUUUGGGGUCAUGGGGUCGGCUGUGGCCUAGUUGGAUGGUGAUUCAACUGCAGGGACUGGGGCUCUACCAGUGCUAGCUAAGGCGUCCUUGUCUCCUGGCUCCGGGGCCAGAUUUCCAUUGUUUUUCAGAACCAGAGGAGGACUUGAGUGUGCGGCUGGACAGCGAGAAUGAUUUUGCACCUUGGGUUGAUCAGCCGGAGGCGUCAGGUGUUACAAGUAUUUACUGUUGUCUUGGAAACUUAGCGUACGCCUCCAAACCUCUUGUUAGCUCAAGCCAGUCUGAAACUUUAAAACACUCGCAACCACAGCCCUCUUCGGGAGACGAGCUCACAGAAAACUGUCAAGGAUGAUGUGUUAACAGAAAAUGAGCACAGACCUAGGGCAAUGGGGAGAAAACAAUUGUUUCUCUUCACAAAUUAAAGGAAGAUUUUUAGCUCUUGGCAAUGUGGAUUAUUAUGUCGCUCACAACUGUUCUGCAUUAGUCCCCAAAUUCUUUUCUUUACCAUCCAGUUUUCUUAUGCUCUUAAAUGAACCAUUGAUAGUCUACGUGGCACGAGAAAGAGUGGAGCUGGAAAGUAUUACCACAUAGAGAACAUUUUACAUCACAAAAUAAAUACAUCAUACUGUUAAAUAAAAAAUAUAUUUUCACCUC